AAGUGGUUGAAAAAAAAGUUUUUAUGACUCUAACCUAAGUGUAUGUCAACUCCCGACUUCAACUGUACGUAAGUACUGUUUCCCUCUAUUAUGUCCACAAGCCAUUAGAACCGAGUGGACAAGACCAAGCACUAAAUCACAUGGGGGGGGAUUAAAUUAUUUUCUACACAGAAGAUCAUACAACUUUAUUGCCUGGUGAUCUUCUGAACCCAAUACCUUUCUGAUGCAUUUCAGUCACUUCAAACCAUCUUCAGAUUUAAAUGCUGUCCAAAGUACUGUCAGACCGAUUUCAAAUAGACUGUCAUAUCCCAAAUUAAAAAGUUAACAUUGGCUGUUGAUUGCAUAAUUUUCUUUACAUGGUGGGGUCACAAAAAAAAGUUAUAUAAAAAUGGGGUCGCAGGCCAAAAUAGUUUGGGAACUCCUGGCCUAAGAAUUUGUUGAAAAAUACAUAUCCUGAUUCAUACUGUGAUAUGGAAUCACUCAAAGCCCUUAAGCAUUUGACUUUCUGAACCUCUCUGACCGUGUCUGGCCAUAUCUAACCGUGUGGUAUCUUUCCUCUGCAGGGACCCUGAAAAGCUUGCUGCAAUAUCACAUUAUGGAGAUGAUUAUUGGCAACACUUGAGGCGGCUCUGACUGCGUGUCACAGUCUCUGGCUGAGUUUGACCGUGUGUGACCGUGUGGUCUCUCUUAUCUGCAGGGACCCUGAAUGCGCUCCUGAGACAGAAGGGUCAGGCAGCGACAGAGGGGCCCACCUGGUCACUGAGCGGUAACCAAGGCGACCACUGGAAACAGGCCAAAGUUAGCAUCCACCCAAUUGCCUCUUUCCAGGUGGUGCUGGAGGGUAUCCGAGGUCCUGGUAUUGAGGGGGAUAUCGCAAUUGAUGAUGUCACCCUGGAGGAGGGGGAGUGUAGAGAUCUACCGGCCGUUAAUCUCAGAUCCGCUGCCCCAUCUACAUCUGCCCAUAUAUGGCUGCUGAGUGUCACCUUGGCGAUGACCUUCCGGUGGGGUCAUAGGUGACCCUGCCCUGCGCCAUCUGGCGGAGGCAAACGGGCCGAACCGGUCUCGGGCCCGACCUCGGCCCUGGUGUCUGUGUUAUUGUACCCUCAGCAUCCAAUCACCAAAGAUUCAUGCAUUCAGAAGGCGGCAUCGAGGGAAUCCAAACACAGACCACCAAGAGGGACGAAAAUCUUUAAAACAGACGAAAAAAAGGAAAAAAAUACCACAUAAAACGUAAUAAAAUAAGAUUCGCAAUUUUUUUUAAAGAGACAACUUUUCCAGAAAAUUGCUCCCCAAGCGCAGGAUUGUGAGCACUUUUACGGGAGCGGAGCAAAGCCAGGUGUUGAGACGCCUGGACUUUAGUGAGAGUGUUCACAAGCGCAGCGGGAAAACUAUUUGUAAAGCACAAGAACAAUUUUGCCAGUCAGGAAACUUAAAUUGAAAGGUAAGUGGGAAUUGAGACAUUGGGGACUUUUCGAAGAACAAAAUGACUUUUCCCCGGCUUAAAAAAAACACAUGGAAUUGAAGCUUUUCUCUGUCUGUCUUAUCUUUUUGGAGUUGCACCUGAUACACAUCAAGGACAAUUUUCACUCUGCCCAGCCACCCUGACCUUCACACCUUGACAUGUCUCUCUCUCUCUCUCGACUUGAUGCUGUGCAGUAGAAAAUAGAAACUUGGACAUUUAGUUAUCUAUUCCAGCUCUCUCUCCCCUCUUGCCCAAUAGCUGCCUAAGUAUUUCACAACACUGUCCUUACCAGUCCAAGUGGCCAACAGAGGGUAUGUGAGGCCAAGUAAGCAGGCCCCAGGCAGACUCCAGGCAAACCCCAGGCAGGCUCCAGACUCAGGGUCUGUAGGUUAGAUCGAGAGGAGUAGGAGAGAUAGUUGAAGAGGGGUGUGCC